CCAUCGGUGGUUCAGUGGUAGAAUGCUCACGCUGGCGGCCCGAGUUCGAUUCCCGGCCGAUGCA